rnacentral:rRNA from 1 species
GAGACCCGGGUAGUCCUAGCCGUAAACGAUGCUCGCUAGUUGCAUUCAUUUUGAUUUUCCAUAAUGGGUGUGGCGAAGCUAACGCGUUAAGCGAGCCGCCUGGGGAGUACGACCGCAAGGUUGAAACUCAAAGGAAUUGGCGGGGAGACACACAACUAGUGGAACAUGUGGUUUAAUUCGAGGCGAACCGAAGAACCUCACCAAGGCUUGACAUCCUUAUGACCGCUUUAUGAAAGUAAAGCUUUCUUUUGACGUAAGGACAGCUGUUGCAUGGCUAUCGUCAGUUCGUUCCGUGAGGAGUGCCCUUAAGUGGGACAACGAACGUAACCUUUGUCCCCGUGUUAUAUUUGUCACGGGAGACUGCUCGCGCUUUGCGCGGGAGGAAGG